rnacentral:rRNA from 1 species
GGCGGACGGGUGAGUAACGCGUAGGAAUCUACCUAAUGGUGGGGGAUAGCCCAGGGAAACUUGGAUUAAUACCGCAUAAGUCCUAAGGGAGAAAGCGGGGGAUCUUCGGACCUCGUGCCAUUAGAUGAGCCUGCGUAAGAUUAGCUAGUUGGUGAGGUAAGAGCUCACCAAGGCGACGAUCUUUAGCUGGUCUGAGAGGAUGAUCAGCCACACUGGGACUGAGACACGGCCCAGACUCCUACGGGAGGCAGCAGUGGGGAAUAUUGGACAAUGGGGGCAACCCUGAUCCAGCCAUGCCGCGUGUGUGAAGAAGGCCUUCGGGUUGUAAAGCACUUUCAGCAGUGAGGAAAGGUUGCAGAUUAAUACUCUGUAGCUGUGACGUUAACUGCAGAAGAAGGACCGGCUAACUCCGUGCCAGCAGCCGCGGUAAUACGGAGGGUCCGAGCGUUAAUCGGAAUUACUGGGCGUAAAGCGCGC